UACGUAGGGUGCGAGCGUUUGUCCGGAAUUACUGGGCGUAAAGAGCUCGUAGGUGGUUUGUCGCGUUGUCCGUGAAAACUCACAGCUCAACUGUGGGCGUGCGGGCGAUACGGGCAGACUGGAGUACUGCAGGGGGAGACUGGAAUUCCUGGUGUAGCGGUGGAAUGCGCAGAUAUCAGGAGGAACACCGGUGGCGAAGGCGGGUCUCUGGGCAGUAACUGACGCUGAGGAGCGAAAGCGUGGGGAGCGAACAGG
rnacentral:rRNA from 1 species